UACGGAGGGUGCGAGCGUUGUCCGGAAUCACUGGGCGUAAAGGGCGCGUAGGCGGCUCAUGAAGGCUGUGGUGAAAGCCCGGGGCUCAACCUCGGAAUUGCAUCCGAUACUACCAUGCUAGAGUACUGAAGAGGUGACUAGAAUUCUCGGUGUAGCAGUGAAAUGCGUAGAUAUCGAGAGGAAUACCAAAGGCGAAGGCAGGUCACUGGGCAGUUACUGACACUGAGGCACGAAGGCUAGGGGAGCAAACGGG
rnacentral:rRNA from 1 species